UAAACUACGAUUAGAUACCCUAUUAUUUUAAAUGUAAAUAAUUAUACUUGAGUAGUAAUAGUUAUGUUCUUGAAACUCAAAGAAUUUGGCGGUGUUUUAGUCCUUUCAGAGGAACCUGUCCCGUAAUCGAUAAUCCCCGUAAAACCUUACUUAAAUUAGUUUUCAGCUUGUAUACCGCCGUCGUCAGAAUGUUCUUAGAGGAGUGAAAUUUUCUUAAAUUUUAAUUAGUAAUGAUGUCAGGUCAAGGUGCAGUUUAUGUUUAAGUGGAGAUGGGUUACAAUAAAUUUAUUUAUAAUGAAUUUGGUUUUGUAAUAUUUAAAUCAUUGAAAGUGGAUUUGAUGGUAAUUAAAUUAAUUAUGUUAAUUUGAUUUUGGCUCUAAAACAUGCACACAUCGCCCGUCGCUCUUA
rnacentral:rRNA from 1 species